rnacentral:rRNA from 1 species
UACGUAGGCAGCAAGCGUUGUUCGGAAUUACUGGGCGUAAAGAGUGUGUAGGCGGUGCUCUAAGUCUGUUGUGAAAUCUCCCGGCUUAACUGGGAGGGUGCGGCGGAGACUGGAGUGCUAGAGUGUGGGAGAGGUAAGCGGAAUCCCUGGUGUAGCGGUGAAAUGCGUAGAUAUCAGGAGGAACACCUGUGGUGUAGACAGCUUACUGGACCACGACUGACGCUGAGACACGAAAGCGUGGGUAGCAAACAGG